GAAGGAGAAGAAGACUGCACGCAUGCACAAUUGAAGCUGCUCCGUGAGACAAAGAAGGACGGAGGCUAACUACUUCCAGAAUCCCGAUUUUAAAGCAAUUUGGUGCGCCAUCCAUUUAUCACAAGUUGGCUGUUAUAAAGUUUCCAAACUGACCAAAGACCAACGAAUGACUUCUGAAGAAGGGUGGAUUUAUUUGUAGUUUAGUUAAACAAUAAUUUGCCCCGUCAGUGAUAUGGUUUGAAUGCUGCCUGAACGUUCCGAAUUUGGCAGACACGGUGAGGACAAUGCUGAGGAAAAUUGCCACAAACAAAGUCCUGGAGCAGCUUGGCCUCCGUGGAAAGUCAGGAAAAGUGGCGUUUGAGGACUUGCCCCUUUACAGAAUAAUAAAUAAGGCAUGCAGGGGUGUUUACAAGCAGAUGACCACAGCUGAAGUGGAUUGUGAGCUUGGAGAGGUCCUGAAACUGGCCACUUUUCGAAAGGGAGGUUCAAAAUUUGAGGAGAAGAGGAGGAAUUAAGAGGGAGGACAAAAAAGGAAAAAGAAACAAGCAAAAGAACAGAGUGAGAUGAGAGAAUAAACACAAUAUGAAGAAGUUUCAACAGAGGGCUUAUAAGCGUAGAUGGGCUGCCACAACUAGGCAUUUGAAGAAGCAAUGCCGACAGUCAACUUUAGAAUUAGAGAGUGAUGAUAGCGAGCAAGAGAAUGACACGACAUCAACUCCAGAAACAGUGACAAAAUGGCUCCUUCUUUUGUGGUCGUUGAGUUCCUUGGUGAACAUUCAGUCGCUGUUGUCCCAACCAAAUGGACAGAAGAUGAUGGAAAGAAUACCUUCUGCUAUUGGCCAAGGCCAAAUCCUACCCACUCCAGAAUCCGGAAAGCUGAGAUUCCUGACAAACAAUUCUGGGAGAGGCUGCCAAUUCGGGUUUUCAGGAAAACAUUGACUGAAGACUUUGACAAGGCCCUUCAAUACGAAAAACAAGCUAAAAUGUUUUCGAGCCCAGAAGAAGUGUUAACCAAACGGAGCCACAUCACCCCUGAACGCUAUAGAAACGAUGAGGAAGAUGUGUUUGAUGCUGACGAUGAAGAGGAAAUUCGGCCAAAAAAGAAGUGCAGAAAAGAGAAAACACAGAUCUUCGUCCAGGCACCCCCACUGCCAGAGCUCCCAACCUUUAACUUUCCAAUCUCCAGCGAGUACCAGACCACUUCAGCCAGUACCAGCCAAUACCAGACCACUCAAAGACAUCCAGGCCGACCUCACAGCCCAGCGAGAAGCAGCACUUCCAGGCUCAGUCCAGACAGGAAUGCAUCCAGCUCAAGCCAGUACCAGACCGCUCAAGCCAGUACCAGACCACUCCAGCCAGUACGAGUCAGUACCAGACCGCUCCAAGAAGCAGCAGGAAUGCCCUUGACAGUGAACUUUUCCAGUUGAACAUGAAAGUUCAAAAUAUACUUGAGAACCAGGGAGAAAUUAUGCGCAUGCUGAGAGGGCUGGCAGCACAGUCUGUGGGGCCAGAAUCUGUGGAUGUUCAAGAUCUCAUUGAUCAACCUUUCGAGACUCUUGAGCAGCUGAAGGCCUUCUGUGAACGGCUCGACACUGAUCUUCUGCUCAGAAAGCAGCUGGUAAUUAGUUUUAAUUCCCCACUGCAAAAAUAUCUUGCUCAGUUAUCAAAAAACAAUUUCUAAUCAAGUACAAUAUUGUUGUUUAUUUAUUUGUAUAGGUGAAAGCUCUUACUGCUCUUGGUGGGCAGAAUUUGGCAGACACUGUGAGGACAAUGCUGAGGAAAAUUGCCACAAACAAAGUCCUGGAGCAGCUUGGCCUCCGUGGAAAGUCAGGAAAAGUGGCGUUUGAGGACUUGCCCCUUUACAGAAUAAUAAAUUAGGCAUGCAGGGGUGUUUACAAGCAGACGACCACAGCUGAAGUGGAUUGUGAGCUUGGAGAGGUCCUGAAACUGGCCACUUUUCGAAAGGGAGGUUCAAAAUUUGAGGAGAAGAGGAGGAAUUAAAAGGGAGGACAAAAAAGGAAAAAGAAACAAGCAAAAGAACAGAGUGAGAUGAGAGGAUUUGGGUUUCCCUGCUUGGGCUGCUGCCCCCGCGACCCGACCUCGGAUAAGCGGAAGAAGAUGGAUGGAUGGAUGGAUGGAUUUACUUCCAGGAAGAGAACCAAGAAGGGGCAGGAUACACUGACGCGCACGACCAAGACCACUGCAUUCCAUUCCAUUUAUAAAUGAUAAAUGGGUUAUAUGUCAAAGCGCUUUGAGUACCUUGAAGGUAGAAAAGCGCUAUACAAGUAUAUACUUGUAUAGCGCUUUUCUACCUUCAAGGUACUCAAAGCGCAAUUGACAGUAUUUCCACAUUCACCCAUUCACACACACACAUUCACACACUGAUGGAGGGAGCUGCCAUGCAAGGCGCUACCAGCACCCAUCAGGAGCAAGGGUGAAGUGUCUUGCCUAAGGACACAACGGACGUGCCUAGGAUGGAAGAAGGUGGGGAUUGAACCCCAGUAACCAUCAACCCUCCGAUUGCUGGCACGGCCACUCUACCAACUUCGACACGCCGUCCCCAUUUUUGUAUUACAUCACUAAUAAAGAAUUAUUUCUGUUGAAAUCACUAUCACAAAU